GCAGUCGAGCGGAUCUUCAGUAGCUUGCUCCCUGAGAUUAGCGGCGGACGGGUGAGUAACACGUGGGUAACCUGCCUGUAAGAUUGGGAUAACUUCGGGAAACCGGAGCUAAUACCGGAUAAUCUUUUCACCCGCAUGGUUCAAAGUUGAAAGACGGCUUCUGCUGUCCCUUACAGAUGGGCCCCCGGCGCAUUAACUAAUUGGUGAGGUAACGGCUCACCAAGGCAACCAUGCCUAACCCACCUGAAAGGGUGAUCGGCCACACUGGGACUGAAACACGGCCCAAACUCCUACGGGAGGCAGCAGUAAGGAAUCUUCCGCAAUGGACGAAAGUCUGACGGAACAACGCCCCGUGAACGAUGAAAGCCUUCCGGUCCUAAAGUUCUGUUGUUAGGGAAGAACAAGUACCCGAAUAACUGCCGGUACCUUGACGGUACCUAACCAGAAAGCCACGGCUAACUACGUGCCAGCAGCCGCGGUAAUACCUAAGUGGCAAGCGUUGUCCGGAAUUAUUGGGCGUAAAGCGCGCGCAAGGCGUUUCUUAAGUCUGAUGUGAAAGCCCCCGGCUCAACCGUGGAGGGUCAUUGGAAACUGGGGAACUUGAAUGCAGAAGAAGAGAGCGGAAUUCCACGUGUAACGGUGAAAUGCGUAGAGAUGUGGAAGAACACCAGUGGCGAAAGCCACUCUCUGGUCUGUAACU
rnacentral:rRNA from 1 species